UUGGAGGGCAAGUCUGGUGCCAGCAGCCGCGGUAAUUCCAGCUCCAAUAGCGUAUAUUAAAGUUGUUGCAGUUAAAAAGCUCGUAGUUGAACUUCAGACCUGACCGGGUGGUCCGCCUAACGGUGUGUACUGUCUGGCCGGGCCUUACCUCUUGGUGAGCCGGCAUGCCCUUAAUUGGGUGUGUCGGGGAACCAGGACCUUUACCUUGAGAAAACUUAGAGUGUUCAAAGCAGGCUUACGCCGGAAUACAUUAGCAUGGAAUAAUAAUAUAGGACGUGCGG
rnacentral:rRNA from 1 species